rnacentral:rRNA from 1 species
AUUGAACGCUGGCGGCAGGCCUAACACAUGCAAGUCGAGCGGAGCGGCGGACGGGGGAGUAAGACCUAGGUAUCGGCCUGGGAGUGGGGGAGAACGAUCGGAAACGGAAGCUAAUACCGAAUACUAUCAGAUGAGCCUAGGCCGGAUUAGCUAGUGGGUGGGGUAAUGGCUCACCCAGGCCACGAUCCGUAGCUGUUCUGAGAGGAUGAUCAGUCACACUGGAACUGAGACACGGUCCAGACUCCUACGGGAGGCAGCAGUGGGGAAUAUUGGACAAUGGGCGAAAGCCUGAUCCAGCCAUGCCGCGUGUGUGAAGAAGGUCUUCGGAUUGUAAAGCACUUUAAGUUGGGAGGCGUUACCGACAGAAUAAGCACCGGCUAACUCUGUGCCAGCAGCCGCGGUAAUAC